rnacentral:rRNA from 1 species
UUCGAACGGAGAGUUCGAUCCUGGCUCAGGAUGAACGCUGGCGGCGCGCCUAACACAUGCAAGUCGAACGGUUAAAGCACCUCCGG